GAUGAACGCUGGCGGCGUGCCUAAUACAUGCAAGUCGAGCGAAUGGAUUAAGAGCUUGCUCUUAUGAAGUUAGCGGCGGACGGGUGAGUAACACGUGGGUAACCUGCCCAUAAGACUGGGAUAACUCCGGGAAACCGGGGCUAAUACCGGAUAACAUUUUGAACCGCAUGGUUCGAAAUUGAAAGGCGGCUUCGGCUGUCACUUAUGGAUGGACCCGGGUCGCAUUAGCUAGUUGGUGAGGUAACGGCUCACCAAGGCAACGAUGCGUAGCCGACCUGAGAGGGUGGUGGGACACACUGGGACUGAGACACGGCCCAGACGCCUACGGGAGGAAGCAGUAGGGAAUCUUCCGCAAUGGACGAAAGUCUGACGGAGCAACGCCGCGUGAGUGAUGAAGGCUUUCGGGUCGUAAAACUCUGUUGUUAGGGAAGAACAAGUGCUAGUUGAAUAAGCUGGCACCUUGACGGUACCUAACCAGAAAGCCACGGCUAACUACGUGCCAGCCGCCGCAGUAA
rnacentral:rRNA from 1 species